rnacentral:lncRNA from 1 species
GGGCGAUUUUGAGAGCAGAGAGAGAUUUCGAUUGAGAGAGAUGUUGAGGUGGAAGGCGAUUGUUUGAGAGUGUGAGAGAAAAGUGAGAUUGGGAGGGAACGGUUCUGUUACUAUUCCAAAUUGUUUUUUUCUUUUUUCUUUAAUUCGUUUUAAACAGAGUAAAUUUUGAAAAAUCAUUUAAAGUUUGUUUAAACUUCCUAAGUUUUAGUUAAUAUUAGUUAAUAAAUAUUUUCCCCUUUUCAAUUCAUAUUCCCAUUGAAAAACCCAACAGC